AGCAUUGAAGGACAUUGGAGAACAAGUCAGACACAAUUCCUGUGAAAGGUCCAUGGAAACUUGAGCUGCUGGAGUCACUUGUGACCAGAUGUGUUUGGGGACCAGAGUAAAAGGUGAAGUGAUACAAGGUUACACUGAAGGCUGCUUGAGAGGUCUUUGUUCUUGUGCUGGUUUCUUAUUUCUAAUUUUUUCUAUUUUUUCUGUCUUUAGGUUAGGAAACUUAAAUGAGAGAGGGACAACUUGCAUAACUGCACUCAAGGGGUUCCAAAUUCAAGAAACUAAUGGCAGUGAGGAACUCAACUAAGCAGUGAUGACUGGUGGAGAGUGGGGAAGGCAGACAAGAUGCUCCAUUGGGAACAGAUGGCUUUCUGGAAAUCUCCCAACAAGGACUACUCCUGGAAUAGAUUUCAUCUGCAAGCCCCACGCAGAGGUAAUAUAUGAUACCUACAAAUAGAUAGUGCUCCAAAGGCUUAGGAAGGAAAAAAAUAUAUCCUGCUGGGGUUCUUAAGGCUGUUAUGACCACAAUUUCCAACAGAAGAGCAAGCAUAAAAAUGAAUCCUAUAUAUAGCAUUCAUUUUUUGAAGUUAUUUUUCUUUACUUCUAUAUAAUCUCCACAAUAGGGACAGCUAUCCUAAAAUGGUUUCUAAAGGGCUGUGUUUUACUUCUCAAGGUGGAUUAAGUACAAAGCUUGAAAUCAGUUAUAAUGUUAUCCUACUUUAAAAAAUGCUGUGAGAUGGCACACAAUAUAUGAAAUAAAUAUUGAAGUUUUCACA
rnacentral:lncRNA from 1 species